rnacentral:tRNA from 1 species
AGUCCUGUGGUGUAAACAUAUUGAAUUGCAAAUUCAAAGACGCAGAAUAAUAUCCUGCCGGGGCUU